AGGUAUGCAGAGUGACUUCCGAAGAGCUUGCCCUUUCACCUGGAUGAAUUUAUGUGCUUUUUCUUCGUCAAUAUUGUGGAGGAAAUGCGAAACUGAAAUUUUAUCUUUAUUAAGUGGUUCCAUCAAUUUUUCUGAGCAUUCGGAACAAAUAAAGUUCCAGAAUGAGUCGAGCAGUUCAUCACAGUUACCAUAAAAAACUUGGAAGUACAUGUCACGAUAAAUGUGGGUUCGGCUUGUUUUUCGUCAGCGUUGACUUCUAUUGUUAGCUCUGCCUAAGGUAAGCGUGAGAAGAAUACGCAGUUAAGCUGUAAUCAUCGCAGUACCAGAACCUCGAGCGAUCUCUGAGACAAAACUAGAGAGCGAUUUUGAAGUGUCGCCUGACAUACGGAGCUCGUUUGGACAAAAAUCGCAGAUCAAGGAGGGGACCGAAGAAUGGGAAAGGAUUGCGAACGAGGCAGCGAGGACGAUUCCUGGAAGGGAGAACGGCGGAAACUGUGACAUCAAGAAUCUCAGCAGAGGCUCCAAGGUGUACCUUCCGGUGUUCGUAGAAGGGGCGAACUUGAGUACAGGAGACAUGCACUUCUCACAGGGCGAUGGAGAGGUAUCCUUCUGCGGAGCAAUUGAAAUGAGCGGCUUCCUGGAGCUCAAGUAAUAUGACCCCCCCUCCCCCACUCACCCCACACCCAUGCACAAGACCCUAUGUUGGUCGCCCUUCUCACCAUAUCCUGUGAUCGACAUGGGCCGCUGAAUCUUUCUUGUUUCUCUUCUACUCUGAAGGUGCGAGAUCAUCAGGGGCGGGAUGAAGGAGUACCUCACGCCAAUGGGUCCAACCGCGCUGCAUGUGAAUCCAAUCUUCGAGAUUGGACCCAUGGAGCCGAG
rnacentral:lncRNA from 1 species